rnacentral:lncRNA from 1 species
CUGGGGAUGUGGGGGGAGGGGACAAUCCUACAGCCUCAAGGGCCGGAAGACUGCUCUGCGUGACCCAGUCCUGCUCUUCUCUAAAGCUUCCAGGGUUCCAUCCAGUCCCUUGGAAAAUACCUGCAUCACCUUGUGACCUGAUGUGACUAAUUCCAUUCUCUAACGGAGCAUGGGCUGGAGUAUCUUUUAUUUUUUUAUUAUUUUUUUUUAAUUUAAAAGCAUGCUUCAUGUUCUUCACCUGCUCACCUGAAACAUUCAGUCCCAGGUACAAGACUACGGUAUGUGAGCAAGGCUUUCCACCCCAUCUCAUCUGGACCCAGGAUCCGUCCCAGGGGGUGCUGUGUCACCAAGAAGCCUCUUGUCAGCACUGCACAGCAUCACUAAUGCACACAGCGGGUGCUCGUUUCAACACACCGCUGUGAUUUUUCAAAAGCCUGUGGUUUUUGAUCCCAACGUCCAUUUAACGUGACGUCCUCUUAACAGUGGGCGCUUUUCCUUUUCGCCAAACGGUGCUUUAACAUAUUUUAUAAGGCGUCAACCAGUUCUGCGGGCAAUUUUAUUCACUGGUUCAUGCGUUCGGCAAGUAUUUAUUGAGCAGAUAGCUUGUCCCAGGAGGUGUUAGAGUCCUGGGGAUCUAGCAGAAAAGAAACCAGACCGCCCAAAGGUUGUUUUCUCCUCCCCUACUUUGUAAUUAAGUUGUAAUGAAGUUUACAGUAAUUCUUCUUACCUUCCUGUUUGCAUUCUGCAGCUGUCUUUGACACCGUGAGAAGGUGACUCCUUCAGAGCCUGGCAGGUGGGGCCUGGGAUUGCCCCUCUACUCCUGGGUUUUCCGUGGGUGCUGCUGCGGCCUGUCUGUGUAUGCCAGGUUUACAUUUCCGGAUGAUACACACAAUGCAUGUCUACCUUGCAAAAUAUGAAAAUCAGCGAGGCACCAAGGAAAAGAACCGCACACUGGAGAGAGCCAGACUGGCUGGAGUCUGCCUCAGGCCCAUGGGCUGUGGUGUCAACGGCUCCAGAAAUGUUGGUGUGGGGGCCUCAGUUCUUUGUGCAGAUGCCAGUCACCGUGCCUUGCAAGGUUGCUAAGAGUCAGUGAGGACUCAACACACAAUAGCUUUCUUAUUUCCUUUCUCUUCCCGAAUAGAGCUGGUAUCUAAUUGUAGGGGUUCUUUAUACCCUACUCAUCUGCUUUCUUUCAUAUUGAAAUACCUUUAUCCAAUUAUUCUUUUCUUCUAAUAUGUGCCUUUUUGGGCUUAGGGAUAGCCAAACAGAAUUCUCUGGAUCAGUUGCUUCCUUGCAGACAUGAAGGUCUCAAGUUAAGUUACAUUUAUUGGGUAUCUACCACGUGCCUUU